GGCUUAGAGUUUGAUCAUGGCUCAGGAUGAACGCUGGCGGCGUGCCUAAUACAUGCAAGUCGAGCGAAGCACCUGCUUCUGAUCUUUCGGGUGAAGAAGCAGGCGACUGAGCGGCGGACGGGUGAGUAACACGUAGGUAACCUGCCUCACACAGGGGGAUAACAGUUAGAAAUGACUGCUAAUACCGCAUAAGCGCACAGGACCGCAUGGUCUGGUGUGAAAAGCUCCGGCGGUGUGAGAUGGACCUGCGUCUGAUUAGCCAGUUGGCGGGGUAAAGGCCCACCAAAGCGACGAUCAGUAGCCGGCCUGAGAGGGUGGACGGCCACAUUGGGACUGAGACACGGCCCAGACUCCUACGGGAGGCAGCAGUAGGGAAUAUUGCACAAUGGGGGAAACCCUGAUGCAGCGACGCCGCGUGAGCGAAGAAGUAUCUCGGUAUGUAAAGCUCUAUCAGCAGGGAAGAAGAUGACGGUACCUGACUAAGAAGCACCGGCUAAAUACGUGCCAGCAGCCGCGGUAAUACGUAUGGUGCAAGCGUUAUCCGGAUUUACUGGGUGUAAAGGGAGCGUAGACGGAGAAGCAAGUCUGGAGUGAAAGCCCGGGGCUCAACCCCGGGACUGCUUUGGAAACUGUUAUUCUUGAGUGCCGGAGAGGUAAGCG
rnacentral:rRNA from 1 species